rnacentral:tRNA from 1 species
AUUUAAAUAGCUUAUAUUUUAGAGCGCAGCCUUGAAGAUGCUGAAGAGAUUGUUAAAUCUUUAAAUA